rnacentral:rRNA from 1 species
AGCUCCAAUAGCGUAUAUUAAAGUUGCUGCAGUUAAAAAGCUCGUAGUUGGAUUUGUGGCGCGGCCGUCCGGCGGGGGUCCUUCUAUGGUCUCGUUUGUCCUGGUUUUCGGCCGCUCCUUUCUCGGGUAGAGCGUAAUGGCUGGCAUUAGGUUGUCGGCCGCUUCGCGCCCGUCGUUUACUGUGAAAAAAUUAGAGUGUUCAAAGCAGGCUUAGGCCGUUGGAUACAUUAGCAUGGAAUAAUAGAAUAGGACUUUGGUUUUAUUUUGUUGGUUUCUGAGACCGAAGUAAUGAUUAAUAGGGAUAGUUGGGGGCACUCGUAUUUCAUUGUCAGAGGUGAAAUUCUUGGAUUUAUGAAAGACGAACAGCUGCGAAAGCGUUUGCCAAGGAUGUUUUCACUGA